rfam:Oryza sativa Japonica Group DNA, chromosome 1, cultivar: Nipponbare, complete sequence.
AACCACAAUAUCAAUGAAUGGAUUCACCUGUGAGAUGACGUGGUUAUUUUACCUAGGAUGAGGACGUGGCAUCCUAUUAAUUUCAUGAGAUGGCUGGUAAUAGGAUGCAUGUCAUUGUCCUAUGUGGAACAACCAAGUCGACGUGGCAUCCUAUUAAUUUCAUGAGAUGGCUGGUAAUAGGAUGCAUGUCAUUGUCCUAUGUGGAACAACCAAGUCAUCUCACGGGUGAAUCUAUUUAUUGAUAGUGUGGUU